CAAACACUCGGCUAUGGCUGAGGUCACUUCACAGAGAACUGGAAAUUGAAGGGAUUCCCGUCAAUUGGGGAAUGACUGAACAAUGUGGUGUGUGAUGGUGAUGAAAUACGACUGCACCACACGAAAUGAUGAGCAGGUUUACACCCGAAGUCACAAACUACUAUCAGGCAUUUGUAGCAUUCAGCUGGAAAAUUCAAAGACCCGUGUCACUUAG
rnacentral:lncRNA from 1 species